rnacentral:rRNA from 1 species
UAGCGUAGGGUGCAAGCGUUGUCCGGAAUUAUUGGGCGUAAAGAGCUCGUAGGCGGUCUGUCGCGUCUGCUGUGAAAAACUCGGGGCUUAACCCCGGGCCUGCAGUGGGUACGGGCAGACUAGAGUGCGGUAGGGGGAGACUGGAAUUCCUGGUGUAGCGGUGAAAUGCGCAGAUAUCAGGAGGAACACCGGUGGCGAAGGCGGGUCUCUGGGCCGUAACUGACGCUGAGGAGCGAAAGCGUGGGGGAGCGAACAGG